rnacentral:rRNA from 1 species
UACGUAGGGUGCGAGCGUUGUCCGGAAUUAUUGGGCGUAAAGAGCUCGUAGGCGGUUUGUCGCGUCUGCUGUGAAAACCGGGGGCUCAACCCCCAGCCUGCAGUGGGUACGGGCAGACUAGAGUGCGGUAGGGGAGAGUGGAAUUCCCGGUGUAGUGGUGAAAUGCGUAGAGAUCGGGAGGAACACCAGAGGCGAAAGCGGCAUCCUGGGCCGGGCCUGACGCUGAGGCGUGAAAGCGUGGGGAGCGAACCGG